rnacentral:tRNA from 1 species
AAUUAAUAAGCUUUUAUAGCAUUUGUUUUGAAAACUUAAGAAAGAAAUAAAUUUUCUAUUAAUUU